GGAAUAUUGGUCAAUGGGCGGAAGCCUGAACCAGCCAUGCCGCGUGCAGGAUGACUGCCCUAUGGGUUUUAAACUGCUUUUGUCCGGGAAUAAACCUCCUUACGAGUAGUGCGCUGAAUGUAUCGGAAGAAUAAGGACCGGCUCACUCCGUGCCAGCAGCCGCGGUAAUACGGAGGUUCCGAGCGUUAUCCGGAUUUAUUGGGUUUAAAGGGUGCGUAGGCGGCUUGUUAAGUCAGGGGUGAAAUACGGUGGCUCAACCAUCGCAGUGCCUUUGAUACUGACGUGCUUGAAUCCAUAUGAAGUGGGCGGAAUAAGACAAGUAGCGGUGAAAUGCAUAGAUAUGUCUUAGAACUCCGAUUGCGAAGGCAGCUCACUAAGCUGGUAUUGACGCUGAUGCACGAAAGCGUGGGGAUCGA
rnacentral:rRNA from 1 species